CGGGGCUCCGCCCCACGCCAUCCUCCCGGCAAGCCCCGCGCUGCCCGGACCGGAAGAAGGCCUGCCGGGAGUCGUAGUUUCGGUGCCUACAGCUCCGGACUGGCCUCUGGGGAAGGGCGCGGCAGCGGGCACAUCUUUUUGCCAGAACUCAAGAGAUCGUCAGCCGCCUCCAGGAGGCACAGUACUAAAUCCUUUCUUCUCCAGCUGAAGGGGCUUGAAGGCUGCAGCCCUGCUUCUCAGUGCCCACUGGGCACUCCUGCUGGGACCCGAGGCUGCCCAGCCAGUAGAGUUGAGAGACAACAGUGGGCUCAGGGAAUCAGCCAGAUCUGGAGUCUGGAAGCUCUGAAAAGCUCCUGCCCACACGGGGCUCAGCUGGGUGGAGGGCAGCAUAGAGCUGAGACCAACCACCCCUCCAGGUGCUGGGCAGUGAAGCAAGGUGGCAGCCUGCCCCUCCUGUCUGCAGGGAUGGGGCUUCCUCCUGCUGUCAUCAAAGCGGCCCUGGAAUCUGCUGCUCCUGCCUCAGAAUCCGAGGGUCACGCAAGCAAGUCACACUCUCUACAAAGAGAAGGAUACAAGGACUGUGCAGCCUGUCACUGAGUGACUGGGAAAGCUGACCACUAUGUCAAGGGACAAGCCCACUGUACUUGUUCAAGGCUCAGUGUUCUGGGUGUGAGCCCGCUGAGUUCAUGAUGCGGCAGUAAAUCAACGCCACUUCCCGCCCAGUCACCACCGAAAACCCCACAACA